rnacentral:rRNA from 1 species
GAUGAACGCUGGCGGCGUGCCUAAUACAUGCAAGUCGAGCGAACAGACGAGGAGCUUGCUCCUCUGACGUUAGCGGCUGACGGGUGAGUAACACGUGGAUAACCUACCUAUAAGACUGGGAUAACUUCGGGAAACCGGAGCUACUACCGGAUAAUAUAUUGAACCGCAUGGUUCAAUAGUGAAAGACGGUUUUGCUGUCACUUAUAGAUGGUUCCGCGCCGCAUUAGCUAGUUGGUAAGGUAACGGCUUACCAAGGCAACGAUGCGUAGCCGACCUGAGAGGGUGAUCGGCCACACUGGAACUGAGACACGGUCCAGACUCCUACGGGAGGCAGCAGUAGGGAAUCUUCCGCAAUGGGCGAAAGCCUGACGGAGCAACGCCGCGUGAGUGAUGAAGGUCUUCGGAUCGUAAAACUCUGUUAUUAGGGAAGAACAAAUGUGUAAGUAACUAUGCACGUCUUGACGGUACCUAAUCAGAAAGCCACGGCUAACUACGUG